UACCGCACAGUGCGCGCCGAAGUUACA
rnacentral:sRNA from 1 species